GAUCAUGGCUCAGGAUGAACGCUGGCGGCGUGCCUAACACAUGCAAGUCGAGCGAGAAAUCUUGGAAUGAGACUUCGGUUAAGUGAAGAGAUGGAAAGCGGCGGACGGGUGAGUAACGCGUAGGCAACCUGCCUUAUGCAGAGGGAUAGCCAUUGGAAACGAUGAUUAAAACCUCAUAAAGCCAUUUUAUCACAUGGUGAGAUGGCCAAAGAUUUAUCGGCAUAAGAUGGG
rnacentral:rRNA from 1 species